ensembl:lncRNA
GGGUAAACUGUUGAACAGUGAUGGAAAGAAACUAAGUACAUUUACUCAGGUACUGUACUAAAGCAGAGUUUUGAUGCGAUUCACUUCAUUGUAGAGAGAAAAUAUUGUACAUUCUACUCACUGCCACUGGCAGCUUUAUUUACGAUAAAGAUUUUACACAAUGGAUAGUAUAACAAGCUUUUAAAAAGAGUUCAAGUGUGUAGUCAGGCUCACAUUUCUCUCUGAGUUGUUAACUUCACCAAAUACUUCUCACGUGGUCUCAUUUCAGACAAAGUUAAAACGAUCCAAGAUUGCACCAAAAAUCCAAGCCCUGCAUUGAAUUAUGUCGGGGAAACGAACAUCAGCCACUUCCAGACACUGGGAUGAAGACACCAGAGGAAAACGACGCCGAGCAAAGUCUCCUGGAAAUGAGCUCAGAGGGUCCUGUGACUGUCAGGGGAAAUCCUGUGAGGGAAGAGGAUGGAAAAAGUGAAAUCGUCUCUAGACAGGAAUCUCAACCAGAUACAUGCCCAAGUUUUUAAUCUGAAUGUAGAAAUGGUUCUGAAUGUAACCAGAGGAGUGAACUAUGAUGAUUAACAGAUUAGUUAGAAGCUAUGUUGAGCUUGAAGUCAGAGUCACGAAGGUGGCGCUCUUUCUAGAUCACCACGGUAACCUAUACAAAGCAGGUUCUCUUCAGAGUUUGGGAUUUAAAUGUUGCUGGAAGAAGCACCUCACUUUGUCCAAGUCUUUUUCUGAUGAUUCUCUGUAAUGCAGCUCCUCAGGUGAGAGAAAAUGUUGUAUCUGCAAACUGGUUGAGCUAUAUGAACAAAGCAGUGCAGUUACAGAGUGUAAACUGGUUGUGCUGCAUUGCCAUGGGAACCUGCAUGUAUUCAAGUGGUGAUAAUUGCAAAAACGUGUUUUAAUGUUUUGUCCUGAUUUGCUGCCAAGUCCGUUUUGCACUGCUGGCACUGCAGCUGAUAGAGCACAGAUUGAAAACAUGGUUAGGUCAUUGGUAUUUAUUACCAAUAAUAUUUAAUCAUUAACAUUGUUUCCACAUAUCAUUCCUCAUGGGACAGUGUCACACCUAAAUGGACUUCUUCUAUAUCAUGUUUAAAUGAAGUUUAAAGUUUCAGACCUCAAAUGUGCUGCUGUCGUGUUAGAAAUAGCAGCUGCACUGAGACUCACUGACUAGUAAACUAUAUGUAUAUUGAUUCACAUGAUUAACAGUUUUUGACAAGCAUUCCUCUCGUGCAUUGUUUGCCCUAACAAAUUUUCAUAUUCCUCUUACUGUGAUAACCUGUUUGUUUUUGCUGAAGUAUUUGGUGCACGAUUGGGCCACUUCAUGUGGAAGAAGAGUCACCUGGUGCAAAAAACAUCUCCUUUAAUGUGAGUGCACACAGAGUCGGAUGAAAAAGACCUGUUUGACAAACAAAGUAGAAACCACAUUCAGGAUACCCAUUUUCUCUGACGGGUUUUCGGUUUUGUCGAGCCAGGUUACACAAAGAGGGUCUGGCUAUAUCAAACUUGCUUCAUAGUAGACCUGCAUUUUUUUGUAUUGCUGUUUCCUUUGGCAAUAAUUCUCCAAAGCUAUAAAUGUAUGUAUUUUGUUUUCCUUGAGAAAAAUUUAAAUGUACAAAUCAUGUGCUGAAACACUGUUGUUGUAGUGUAACAAUGUAAGAGGAAUGUGUUAAUAAUAAUGUUGUUUUUUGUUGUAUUAUAAUGUAAGAUGAUGUCGAUGAUAGGUUUUGACACAAAGCUUCUGUAUAUAUUUGCAUGGCGUACUUGCAUUAAAUUUCUGUGCGUUC